rnacentral:misc_RNA from 1 species
AAGUCGUAACAAGGUUUCCGUAGGUGAACCUGCGGAAGUAUCAUUACCGAGUGAGGGCCCUCUGGGUCCAACCUCCCACCCGUGUUUAUUUACCUUGUUGCUUCGGCGAGCCUGCCUUUUGGCUGCCGGGGGACGUCAGUCCCCGGGUCCGUGCUCGCCGGAGACACCUUAGAACUCUGUCUGAAGAUUGUAGUCUGAGAUUAAAUAUAAAUUAUUUAAAACUUUCAACAACGGAUCUCUUGGUUCCG